AGUGAACGCUGGCGGUAGGCCUAACACAUGCAAGUCGAACGGCAGCACAGUAAGAGCUUGCUCUUACGGGUGGCGAGUGGCGGACGGGUGAGGAAUACAUCGGAAUCUACUUUUUCGUGGGGGAUAACGUAGGGAAACUUACGCUAAUACCGCAUACGACCUACGGGUGAAAGCAGGGGAUCUUCGGACCUUGCGCGAUUGAAUGAGCCGAUGUCGGAUUAGCUAGUUGGCGGGGGAAUGGCCCACCAAGGCGGCGCACCGUAGCUGGUCUGAGAGGAUGAUUCGCCACACUGGAACUGAGACACGGUCCAGACUCCUACGGGAGGAAGCAGUGGGGAAUAUUGGACAAUGGGCGAAAGCCUGAUCCAGCCAUACCGCGUGGGUGAAGAAGGCCUUCGGGUUGUAAAGCCCUUUUGUUGGGAAAGAAAAGCAGCAGGUUAAUACCCCGCUGUUCUGACGGUACCCAAAGAAUAAGCACCGGCUAACUUCGUG
rnacentral:rRNA from 1 species